CAGCCGCCGCGGUAAUACGGAGGGGGCUAGCGUUGUUCGGAAUUACUGGGCGUAAAGCGCACGUAGGCGGCUUUGUAAGUCAGAGGUGAAAGCCCGGGGCUCAACCCCGGAAUUGCCUUUGAGACUGCAUCGCUUGAAUCCAGGAGAGGUGAGUGGAAUUCCGAGUGUAGAGGUGAAAUUCGUAGAUAUUCGGAAGAACACCAGUGGCGAAGGCGGCUCACUGGACUGGUAUUGACGCUGAGGUGCGAAAGCGUGGGGAGCAAACAGGAUUAGAUACCCCGGUAGUCCCUGUCUCUUAUAC
rnacentral:rRNA from 1 species